GAACGGCAAAAGGAAGAAUAAAAAGGAAAAGGAGUUUCGAGACUAACCUAGGCGAUUCGGAGAAGUACGAAGGUGCAGAAAUGGGGACGGCUCGAGGAACGCCUAAAGCGGGAAAGGGUGCCGAGAAAAAUUGAAGUUCUCAGGAAGAAGAAGGGUGCCAGAAUGAGACCGUCGGAUAGAGCGGGACUCUUGAAGGAGGAGUGCGGGUUUAAAUAGGCCCUGAGAUCCGGCAUAAUGAUGAUUGUGAAUCUCCUCUGGCCGGUCUCUUUUCGCCGCGUGUCCCACUCACCACAACGGGCGGUUAAAAAGUGGUAGAUGGCUGACAGCGCCUUUAUUGCACCUCACCUUGAGCACCGUUCCGCUGCAGGUUCCAAAAGAGCCUUUUCGGAUCACCUCGAUUUGAAAAGACUCCGGCGCACACGCAUUAAAUGCCAAAAUAUCUGAGGAUGAUCGUGCACGGACAUCGAGGGAGCAACUUCGACUGUGAUAAUCUUUCUGUACUUUUUUCAUUCAAAAUUCGAACUCGAAAGUAGGGGGACUGGUGUUGGGUAUAAAAUACCCUUAGUCGAAGUUCUUAGCAGGAUUGACCCUCCCAAGGCUCCUCCGACAUUCGACCGCAGACGGUAUCUCCCCGGACUUCUCCAACAGCCAGAUUCCCAUAGUGCUGACUGAAUUCCCCCGACAAACGAACUCCCACUACACCGCCCG
rnacentral:lncRNA from 1 species